rnacentral:rRNA from 1 species
GUGGUAAUGCCGGAUGCUCCAGUUGACCGCAUGGUCCUCUGGGAAAGCUUUUGCGGUAUGGGAUGGGGUCGCGUCCUAUCAGCUUGAUGGCGGGGUAACGGCCCACCAUGGCUUCGACGGGUAGCCGGCCUGAGAGGGCGACCGGCCACAUUGGGACUGAGAUACGGCCCAGACUCCUACGGGAGGCAGCAGUGGGGAAUAUUGCACAAUGGGCGCAAGCCUGAUGCAGCGACGCCGCGUGCGGGAUGACGGCCUUCGGGUUGUAAACCGCUUUUGACUGGGAGCAAGCCCUUCGGGGUGAGUGUACCUUUCGAAUAAGCACCGGCUAACUACGUGCCAGCAGCCGCGGUAAUACGUAGGGUGCAAGCGUUAUCCGGAAUUAUUGGGCGUAAAGGGCUCGUAGGCGGUUCGUCGCGUCCGGUGUGAAAGUCCAUCGCUUAACGGUGGAUCCGCGCCGGGUACGGGCGGGCUUGAGUGCGGUAGGGGAGACUGGAAUUCCCGGUGUAACGGUGGAAUGUGUAGAUAUCGGGA